GGCAAGAUGGCCGAGUGGUCUAAGGCGUGUGACUCAAGCGAAAGCUUCCAUUCUCAUGGUGAAUAACCGCCUGGGUUCGAAUCCCAGUCUUGUCA
rfam:Sistotremastrum niveocremeum HHB9708 unplaced genomic scaffold SISNIscaffold_17, whole genome shotgun sequence.